UGGGGAAUAUUGCGCAAUGGGCGAAAGCCUGACGCAGCGACGCCGCGUGGGUGAUGAAGGCCUUCGGGUCGUAAAGCCCUGUCGGGAGGGACGAAACCUCGGUGACCUAAUACGUCACCGACCUGACGGUACCUCUUAAGGAAGCACCGGCUAACUACGUGCCAGCAGCCGCGGUAAUACGUAGGGUGCGAGCGUUAAUCGGAAUUACUGGGCGUAAAGCGUGCGCAGGCGGCUUUGUAAGACAGAUGUGAAAUCCCCGGGCUCAACCUGGGAACUGCAUUUGUGACUGCAAGGCUAGAGUGCGUCAGAGGGAGGUGGAAUUCCGCGUGUAGCAGUGAAAUGCGUAGAGAUGCGGAGGAACACCGAUGGCGAAGGCAGCCUCCUGGGAUGACACUGACGCUCAUGCACGAAAGCGUGGGGAGCAAACA
rnacentral:rRNA from 1 species